rnacentral:snoRNA from 1 species
UCUUGUGUUGGAAAGUGCCCGUGGGUCGUGCCCCGAGGAUUGAUGGUGCAGGGCUGGGAGAGCUGAGAGACAUCUUCCCUGCGUUGGGCCAGCCUUUCCUUCCAAACCGUGGAGUGUUCCCACA